rnacentral:rRNA from 1 species
UACGGAGGGUGCGAGCGUUGUCCGGAAUCACUGGGCGUAAAGGGCGCGUAGGCGGUCUGCUAAGCGUGCGGUGAAAGCCUGGGGCUCAACCCCAGGUCUGCCGUGCGAACUGGUGGACUGGAGCACUGUAGAGGCAGGUGGAAUUCCGGGUGUAGCGGUGGAAUGCGUAGAGAUCCGGAAGAACACCGGGGGCGAAGGCGGCCUGCUGGGCAGUUGCUGACGCUGAUGCGCGACAGCGUGGGGAGCAAACAGG